UACGGGGGGGGCAAGCGUUGUUCGGAAUUACUGGGCGUAAAGGGCUCGUAGGCGGCCAACUAAGUCAGACGUGAAAUCCCUCGGCUUAACCGGGGAACUGCGUCUGAUACUGGAUGGCUUGAGAUUGGGAGAGGGAUGCGGAAUUCCAGGUGUAGCGGUGAAAUGCGUAGAUAUCUGGAGGAACACCUGCGGUGUAGACGGCUUACUGGACCAUAACUGACGCUGAGGCACGAAAGCGUGGGUAGCAAACAGG
rnacentral:rRNA from 1 species